rnacentral:rRNA from 1 species
AACGCGAAGAACCUUACCAAAUCUUGACAUCCUUUGACCGCUCUAGAGAUAGAGUCUUCCCCUUCGGGGGACAAAGUGACAGGUGGUGCAUGGUUGUCGUCAGCUCGUGUCGUGAGAUGUUGGGUUAAGUCCCGCAACGAGCGCAACCCUUAAGCUUAGUUGCCAUCAUUAAGUUGGGCACUCUAAGUUGACUGCCGGUGACAAACCGGAGGAAGGUGGGGAUGACGUCAAAUCAUCAUGCCCCUUAUGAUUUGGGCUACACACGUGCUACAAUGGACAAUACAAAGGGCAGCUAAACCGCGAGGUCAAGCAAAUCCCAUAAAGUUGUUCUCAGUUCGGAUUGUAGUCUGCAACUCGACUACAUGAAGCUGGAAUCGCUAGUAAUCGUAGAUCAGCAUGCUACGGUGAAUACGUUCCCGGGUCUUGUACACACCG